CUCUGGACCGGUUCGGACUGAAUUUGGGGGUAACAGCUCAAACGAGAUUUGGAAGAACACGACCUGAAAGUCUCCUUCAACGAACUAUGACAAAUAAAAUGAUGGCCAUAAUGAGCCUCAGAGGAAGAAGUGGGAAG